rnacentral:rRNA from 1 species
UCGGGAAUUUUGGGCGAUGGGCGAAAGCCUGACCCAGCAACGCCGCGUGAAGGAUGAAGUAUUUCGGUAUGUAAACUUCGAAAGAAUAGGAAGAAUAAAUGACGGUACUAUUUAUAAGGUCCGGCUAACUACGUGCCAGCAGCCGCGGUAAUACGUAGGGACCAAGCGUUGUUCGGAUUUACUGGGCGUAAAGGGCGCGUAGGCGGCAAUUCAAGUCAUCUGUGAAAUCUCCGGGCUUAACUCGGAACGGUCAGAUGAUACUGCUUUGCUAGAGUGCAGAAGGGGCAAUCGGAAUUCUUGGUGUAGCGGUGAAAUGCGUAGAUAUCAAGAGGAACACCUGAGGUGAAGACGGGUUGCUGGGCUGACACUGACGCUGAGGCGCGAAAGCCAGGGGAGCAAACGGGGAUUAGAUACCCAAGUAGUCCCUGAGCGGGCUGGCAAGGCGCAU